GGGCUCCGAAAGUGACGGCCGAGGAACAGCCUUGGAAAGUCCUGUAGGGCGACAACUCCCGCCGAUGCAAGACUUGAUGAGACCAGUUUCUACGCAAGAGCUUGACCUGUUCCAGGUCCGGAGAAACUCAGUGUGACACGCUUGCUUCCCGACCUUCCUGGUCACUCUCGGAUAUUCCUGAUUGAAAGUCUCCGUGGCGUCCAUUGCCAGGCCUUGUCUGCUCUUGGGGAAGAUGCUCUUCUGUACCCACCAGAUCAGUAUCAGAAAAAACAAGAGCAGCUGAAGACAAACACAAUUUUCCUGAGGCAACAAAAAAACAAAAGAAUGAGUGGUUGAAGUACCACUCAACUUCAAAUGUAAUAUGUAAUUAACUUCAAAUGUUCUAAGGACCAGAGAGGAACCAAAAGAACUGGAUCCCAUGUUUGCAUAAAGGGGUCCAUAUUGUGACCUGAUGAAUUCAAAUGCUUACCUUCCUGCAGAUCAUUUGCAAAGUUCAUUUAACUUCAUUCAAAAUGACAGGUUAAAAUAUGUUCUUUUUAAUACCUCCAAACCCACCACCCAUAAGAAUCAUAAGAUAAACAGUACAAAACACAUCAAUUCACACCCUCCUUCUCUACCCUGUCCUACACGUGGCCCACUGGUAACCACAAACCUUUUGUCCAUAUCAUAGAAAGGGUACUGUAAAGUACACAGUCUUUUUGAGACAUUUUCCCAUUCAGCAUUGUUAGUAAUAUUCAGUCUUGUAGUAUAUCCCAGUUCAAAUUGAAAGUAGCUUUGCUGAAUCCAAAGAGGUUGCUUACAGCUGCUCCAGCUGCUGCUGUUAAUAAUAAAAAUUCAUUAAGAUGCUGCUCCUAUUAGCACUGAGUCUACUGGAGAUAAAGCAGAUCCAGUGUGAGACCUUUUGUUAGCCUGGAGACAGCUCCGUCAGUCAAGCAGCAAGGAUCAGGGAAUCUUUCCUAGGGGCACAUUUUCUUGGGACUGGUACCAAGAAAGGUGCCCUCUUUAUGGGCUCUUAUUCUUCAUCCAUGUCCCAAUGGACUAUAUUAAGUGAAACUGAAAUGCCAUUCUGACUGGGUCUCUUUACGCAGUUUUCCAGUUGCGAAUUCUUGAAUCU
ensembl:lncRNA